UCAGCAAAGCAUAAUUGGUAGUCCUGACAUCUGCCCAACACAAAAUGAUGGAAGACCAUUGCCUCAUGACUCAAAGAUGGGAUCGCCGGAUGUCUAGUAGGCUGUGAAAACAUUUGACUGUGACUUAGUCACCAUUUGGACCAGGUUUACAGUGGGGAAGUUCAAGAGUGAAUUGACUCAUCUCCGUUUCUAAUUCCAUCCAAUGUCCAGAUUCUGAAUAGAAUACUCCAUGCUAUCCAACCUGUGCUGAAGCUCCCUGGGAAUGCAGUGCUAGGUA
rnacentral:lncRNA from 1 species